rnacentral:rRNA from 1 species
UACGGGGGGUGCAAGCGUUGUCCGGAUUCAUUGGGUUUAAAGGGUGCGUAGGCGGCCUAGUAAGUCAGUGUUUAAAGACUGCAGCUUAACUGUAGAGAUGGCACUGAUACUGCUGGGCUUGAGUGUAAACGAGGCAGGCGGAAUUUAUGGUGUAGCGGUGAAAUGCUCAGAUACCAUAAGGAACACCGAUAGCGAAGGCAGCUUGCCAGGAUACAACUGACGCUGAGGCACGAAAGCGUGGGGAUCAAACAGG